rnacentral:rRNA from 1 species
UGUUUCGGCAAGGGGGUCAUCCCGACUUACCAACCCGAUGCAAACUGCGAAUACCGGAGAAUGUUAUCACGGGAGACACACGGCGGGUGCUAACGUCCGUCGUGAAGAGGGAAACAACCCAGACCGCCAGCUAAGGUCCCAAAGUCAUGGUUAAGUGGGAAACGAUGUGGGAAGGCCCAGACAGCCAGGAUGUUGGCUUAGAAGCAGCCAUCAUUUAAAGAAAGCGUAAUAGCUCACUGGUCGAGUCGGCCUGCGCGGAAGAUGUAACGGGGCUAAACCAUGCACCGAAGCUGCGGCAGCGACGCUUAUGCGUUGUUGGGUAGGGGAGCGUUCUGUAAGCCUGUGAAGGUGUGCUGUGAGGCAUGCUGGAGGUAUCAGAAGUGCGAAUGCUGACAUAAGUAACGAUAAAGCGGGUGAAAAGCCCGCUCGCCGGAAGACCAAGGGUUCCUGUCCAACGUUAAUCGGGGCAGGGUGAGUCGACCCCUAAGGCGAGGCCGAAAGGCGUAGUCGAUGGGAAACAGGUUAAUAUUCCUGUACUUGGUGUUACUGCGAAGGGGGGACGGAGAAGGCUAUGUUGGCCGGGCGACGGUUGUCCCGGUUUAAGCGUGUAGGCUGGUUUUCCAGGCAAAUCCGGAAAAUCAAGGCUGAGGCGUGAUGACGAGGCACUACGGUGCUGAAGCAACAAAUGCCCUGCUUCCAGGAAAAGCCUCUAAGCAUCAGGUAACAUCAAAUCGUACCCCAAACCGACACAGGUGGUCAGGUAGAGAAUACCAAGGCGCUUGAGAGAACUCGGGUGAAGGAACUAGGCAAAAUGGUGCCGUAACUUCGGGAGAAGGCACGCUGAUAUGUAGGUGAAGUCCCUCGCGGAUGGAGCUGAAAUCAGUCGAAGAUACCAGCUGGCUGCAACUGUUUAUUAAAAACACAGCACUGUGCAAACACGAAAGUGGACGUAUACGGUGUGACGCCUGCCCGGUGCCGGAAGGUUAAUUGAUGGGGUCAGCGCAAGCGAAGCUCUUGAUCGAAGCCCCGGUAAACGGCGGCCGUAACUAUAACGGUCCUAAGGUAGCGAAAUUCCUUGUCGGGUAAGUUCCGACCUGCACGAAUGGCGUAAUGAUGGCCAGGCUGUCUCCACCCGAGACUCAGUGAAAUUGAACUCGCUGUGAAGAUGCAGUGUACCCGCGGCAAGACGGAAAGACCCCGUGAACCUUUACUAUAGCUUGACACUGAACAUUGAGCCUUGAUGUGUAGGAUAGGUGGGAGGCUUUGAAGUGUGGACGCCAGUCUGCAUGGAGCCGACCUUGAAAUACCACCCUUUAAUGUUU